GGGGAAUAUUGCACAAUGGGGGAAACCCUGAUGCAGCGACGCCGCGUGAGUGAAGAAGUACUUCGGUAUGUAAAGCUCUAUCAGCAGGGAAGAAAAUGACGGUACCUGAGUAAGAAGCCCCGGCUAACUACGUGCCAGCAGCCGCGGUAAUACGUAGGGGGCAAGCGUUAUCCGGAUUUACUGGGUGUAAAGGGAGCGCAGACGGUUGCGCAAGUCUGAAGUGAAAUCCUGAGGCUUAACCACGGGACUGCUUUGGAAACUGUGCGACUUGAGUAUCGGAGGGGCAGGCGGAAUUCCUAGUGUAGCGGUGAAAUGCGUAGAUAUUAGGAAGAACACCGGUGGCGAAGGCGGCCUGCUGGACGAAAACUGACGUUGAGGCUCGAAGGCGUGGGGAGCAAACAGGAUUAGAUACCCUGGUAGUCCACGCGGUAAACGAUGAAUACUAGGUGUUGGUGCCCCAAGGGCAUCGGUGCCGUCGCAAACGCAAUAAGUAUUCCACCUGGGGAGUACGUUCGCAAGAAUG
rnacentral:rRNA from 1 species